CCCUUAGAUGUUCUGGGCCGCACGCGCGCUACACUGAUUCAUGCAACAAGUUUUGUCCUUGGCUGAUAGGCCUGGGUAAUCUUUGAACGUGAAUCGUGAUGGGGAUAGAUGAUUGCAAUUAUUCAUCUUCAACGAGGAAUUCCUAGUAAACGCAAGUCAUCAGCUUGCAUUGAUUACGUCCCUGCCCUUUGUACACACCGCCCGUCGCACCUACCGAUUGAAUGGUCCGGUGAAAUCUUCGGAUCUGAGAGAUGUCUGAUUAAUUUCGGACGCCUUUUGGAAAAGUUGUUUAAACCUUACCAUUUAGGGGAAGGUGAAGUCGUAACA
rnacentral:rRNA from 1 species